CCAGAUUUGAAGAGUCUAGGUGUAGUGGUUUUUAAUCAGGAUCAGUUCUAAUGCAGUCUGGACCCCUAAAAAGCAUUAAAAUGUGCCUUUAUUGCAUUUUCACAAAUAGGGUAAAGGUUUCACAAAUCUGAAACUAUGUUUUACAUAAUGUAUAGCCUCACUGUGAUAAUUUAGUCUAGAUUUGAAGAGUCUAGGUGUAGUGGUUUUCAAUCAGGACCGAUUUAAAGUGGACCAGCUGCUGAAUCGGAUGCUGCGAAUCGGAUGCCAACUUCAGCUCUGCUUUCAGAGGCCAGACAUUUCUGGACUUUUGGAUGCAGCGACGCAGCGAAUAUCCUGCGCUUU
ensembl:lncRNA